CGAACAUCAUUUUCGAUGGCGUUCAUUUGCUGAGCGCACGGAUUUGUUGAACGUUAACUUGAGUGGCCUUUUUUUAAUCAAUUGCGAUUCGCCAAUAAUUGCAAGUGCAAGUGCAAAGACAAAACGGGCAAAGACAAGGUUAGCCGCUGAAAAAGCCGUCUUGGCUUUAAAUCAAAACAAGUGCAGCGAAAAAGGCAAGCAAGAAAACCAACUGCAAGCAAGAAAAACUGCACAGAACAAAUUGAAACACAAUUUUGUUGCAGUUAACAACUCUCAGAUCCACUUCAAGUGCGACUUUUAAUUUACAUGUUCGUGUCCGAAGAUCGCAAUUUUUCAACAACUUCAAGGAGUUGCGAAUGAACUGGAAUGAAAUGUUAUCAAUUAGCGUGCAAAAAUGCCAUCAAGUGCAAUAUGCUGAUAAGGCUGGAGAAUCCGAAGGAGGCAGCAGAACGAAGAGCCAGACGGAUUUUAUGGCCAAAAUAAAUGACGAACAGCGAAAACGGCAAAUGGCAUCGAAAGGAACUGGCUAAUAAAAAGCCAUUAAAGCCAAGUUCAGGCAGGUCAUGUGCUGCAACCCCGUUGGCUAGCUGAAAUUUAGAAAUUGAUCUAUACCUAAUUCCACAUGUUAUUAUAUUUAUAAUUAUUUAUAAAAAGAUAUAUUAUUAAGCUUAACAUAAAUAUUAAGAAAUAUAAAACACCUGCACGCAAUGUGUGAAAUAAAGAAUUUAUUAAAA